rnacentral:piRNA from 2 species
UCAUAACUCCACAAACUCUGAAUUUGCAGC